CACAAGGAUACAAGUCACAUUCUGCCCUACUACAGUUCUGCCUUCUACCAUUUGUGAUGCUUUUGGACUUUCCAUAAUUAACAAGUACAAACUGAUCUGUCCAGGAGCUCCACUGACAAACUGUUUCACCAUCAUGAUGGGAUCUUAUGAUCAACCCACAAGAUUCAUUUGAUUUAUCCAAAGGUUAAAUAGGUAUGAAAAGAAGACAAGAAGAGAUGCUUACUGUGUUUGUAUUGUGAUUUCAUAAAGCUCCUUCUACAAUGCCACAUUUUCCAAAACACACACAACAGGAACUUUGAUCUAGUUCAAUGCUACAAUUUUGUUGACUAGGAAAAAUAAAGACCCAGAGAGUUUAAAAAGAGUUGUGAAGCAGCAGAGACAACUUGCAACAUCAAUGCAUUUUGGCCCAGGGACUUCAAACAAACGUACAGUGUGGUGGUGGUUCAAGAAGUUUUGCAAAACAGGUAAGAACCUUGAAGAUGAGGAGCACUGUAAUGACUUGCCAUCAGAAGUGACCAACUGAGAACAAUCAUCAAAGUUGAUCCUCUUAAAACUACAUGAGAAGUUGCCAAAGAACCCAAUGUUGACCACUCAAACGUCAGUGAGCAUUUGAAGCAAAUUGGAAAGGUAAAAAAGUUCAAUGAGUAGGUGCCUCAUGAGCUGACCAUAAAUUUAAAAAGUUAAAAAAAAAACAUUUUUAAGUGUCAUCUUCACUUAUUCUACGCAACAACAAACCACACUUUUCAUUUGGACUGUAACAUGAUAAAAAGUGAACUUUAAAGUAUAGAGGUUAAAG